UAGCUAAUAAUUAUAUAUUCACUGUUGACC
rnacentral:piRNA from 2 species